CAUGUUAGGAGAUGAUGGAGAGAGGAUCGUAGGAGAAAAAGGAUGAGAGCCCAGAUACGGUUGCACUAUACCAGUAAGAGGACUCAAGGUUCUGGCAGCGGAAGAUGGCUUUUUGCCUCGCAUAUUCGGUCGAUCAGGCCAAAUGCAUUCAACUUUGUUGUUACUGCAAGCUUGACAUGAUGGCUUUUCACCAGAACACUUUAUUUUUUUCUGCCUACACCGAAUGCAUGCCUGAGAUACUUGACUGAUUACUCGCCUUUUUCG